rnacentral:rRNA from 1 species
CCUACGGGCCGCACCAGUAGGGAAUCUUCGGCAAAGGACGAAAGUCUGACCGAGCAACGCCGCGUGAGUGAAGAAGGUUUUCGGAUCGUAAAACUCUGUUGUUAGAGAAGAACAAGUAGGAGAGUAACUGUUCUUACCUUGACGGUAUCUAACCAGAAAGCCACGGCUAACUACGUGCCAGCAGCCGCGGUAAUACGCAGGUGGCAAGCGUUGUCCGGAUUUAUUGGGCGUAAAGCGAGCGCAGGCGGUCUUUUAAGUCUGAUGUGAAAGCCCUCGGCUCAACCGAGGAAGGUCAUUGGAAACUGGAGGACUUGAGUGCAGAAGAGGAGAGUGGAAUUCCAUGUGUAGCGGUGAAAUGCGUAGAUAUAUGGAGGAACACCAGUGGCGAAGGCGACUCUCUGGUCUGUAACUGACGCUGAGGCUCGAAAGCGUGGGGAGCAAACAGGAUUAGAUACCCCAGUAGUC